AAUCAACGCUGGCGGCGUGCCUAACACAUGCAAGUCGAGCGCGAAAGCGGGGUAACUCGCAAGUAGAGCGGCGAACGGGUGAGUAACGCGUGGGUGAUCUACCUCCGAGUGGGGAAUAACACCGGGAAACUGGUGCUAAUACCGCAUGACAUCCUCGGAUCACACUGGGGAUCAAAGCCGGGGACCGCAAGGCCUGGCGCUUGGAGAGGAGCCCGCGUCCGAUUAGCUAGUUGGCGGGGUAACGGCCCACCAA
rnacentral:rRNA from 1 species